CAAAAAAUUAAUAUUCCGGAGAAUAUUGUAAUAUAUAAAUUGGUGACUCUGGCAUUGCUUGCUUCAGUUGCAAAUCCUUGUCACUGUGUAACACUAAAAAAGAAAUAAAAGAAAUGAUCAAAAUUUGCAAAGGCUUUUCAAAUCCAAAGUAAGCUCAAUUAUUAUGGUAUCCUAACCAAGAAGUAGUUGAAACAACUUAGCGGCAUCACUUUUUGUGGACAGUGCCACUGGACAGAUAUCUUCGAAUUUGCAUACAGCAUAAUGCAGUUUGAUCACAUACCAUCUGGAGCUGGAAGUAUUAUUGGAGAAGGCAUCCUUGAUUCACCUAGA
rnacentral:lncRNA from 1 species